UGUUUAGGACACUCACCAUAGCAUUUUGGGCCAAGAAACGACUAUAAGCUUUGCAUAUUGAUAGAUGGUUUGCAUUUGCCAUUAAAGGGAGGUUGAGAAAAUUUAUUCAAAUUUUCUUUUAUGUAUGAUGGUGAUCACAGGUUUGCUUUUCCAAGCUAUCAUUUUCCUUGCCAUCUUCUCCCUGUCGAUAAGCCAUGUAAAUCGAAGCAUUUGUGCCUGCCACGUAUCGGAAGCUUUCUCCCUAAUGGCUCUAUUCGUCAAGUACCCUUGAUUUGCGUGGAGUAUAUACCUUUACAUCAAAGUGACAUUGAUAGUAUCCUUUCUGGUCGCUUGAACCUGACAUGGCUGAGGUCGUGUUGUUCCAAGAUGCGUCUUACCUUAUACAUACAUGGUCAGCUUCUCAGUAUGAAAACCUUGAAUAUUGCUGGGCCAACCUUCUAUCGUGUCGAGCUCAAAACUAUAAAUCUUGAAAGCUUUCGAGUUUCAAGGUUCGAUCCAAAUUGUGUUUUUGUUGGAGUUCCAUUUCUGAAAAAAGGUAGUUUGCUUGCAACUAUGUGGAGCUCAUCAAUAGCCAGGAUGCUAAUUGCAACAGAUCUUCCUCGGCUUCAAUUUUUAUCUCUGUUUUUUACGAGUGAGGUCUGCGAAGAAAAAACCAUGUCCUUGUAAGUUCGUUUUUACACUCCUCUUGUAACCUUUGACAUUUGAUCAGUAACAUGUAGAUUUUUUCUCUAUACGUGCUGCCCCAAAGGGCAAUAACUCCUAAAUUCAACCUUCGAGAAUAACUGGUUCUGCUUGUUAAGAGGUCAUCAGAUUUCGAUAUCUUCACAAUUACCCGCCCGUUGAGGGUUUCUCCUGUCCUACAGAUACUACAUGCGAAGGUUGAUCCUUAAUUUUGUUUAAGCCUAAUAUUCUGACAUCUAAAUUGAUCUGUUAUAGAUUAUAUUGAUUUUUUUUUUUUAUCAGAACAUGAGCAUGCUACUCCAUUCAUACCACAUGAUGCAUCCUUGUCUCUUUAAGAACGUAGUUGACAUCCUUCCUACAGCAAGCAAGCUGCUCCAUUUAUAUCAUAUGCACUAACUGGGAUAUCAGAUGCCUUUAUAACCUCACAUUUCUUGGUUAAAUCCAACACUGGAUAUGGAUGUAACGUCCCGCAUUGGUAAGAGUAAAGGGUUGCCUUCUUUAUUGGCAUAGCAAUCAAUAGCCUUGUAUAUAUACGAGAAUUUGAGGAUGAAUCGAGAAUGUGGCUAGAGCAUUCUGGGAAUGUAGUAGGAUCAUUGCAGUUAGUAUAUAGGUUUAUAGACUGCUUGGCCCAUAACAAUGAUAUGAAAGCCAAUUCAAAAGGAUCGGUGCAGACUUGUAGGAUCCUGCCUAAUAUCAAGUUGACGUCAUUCGACAAUAAUACCUUGUAUUGUUUCUGGAUGGGAGACGUUAUAACAUCCCACGUUGAAAGAGGAGAGAUGGAUCGGUAUAGCUCAGGGUACUGAGCAAUUAUACAGAGAUAUGCUAUAUAUAUCAAAAUAGGGAUUUGCUACUAACAGUCUACUUGAAAGGCAUCAUGUUUUUAGAGAUUAGUGACACAAGUUUAAAAAGAGAUUCGUAGCACCAAACUAAAAUAGAUCAUAAAUUUAAAUAUAAUUAUUGAAUCAAAUUUAAAUUUUUAUAGAAAAUUCUCGGCUCUAGAUCUAUGGAGGGACCCCUUUGCCGGUCCAUCCAUUACGUUGAUUUUCUCAAAUUAAACUUCGAAGAUUCUAUUUUGUUAUUUUUUCUUGAUUUUUCUGAAUUUUAUGAUUUUUAGCAUAUAUCCUUUUUGUUAUAGUAUUUUGAUUUUUCUAUAUAAAAACUUGUAGAUCUUUUAGAAAGAUAAACUCUGUAAGAUUAAUAUUUCAUAAAUAAAAAUAAUAUUUUAGGGUUAUGUUUUUGUGUUUUAACUCUAUUUCAACCUAUUUUAUAUAUUUCUAUGGUCGUUGUUGUUCUUGUUGUGCUCCCAUCUGGAUCGUAGAUUUCCUGCUAUUUGUAUCUCGGGCUUCACUUAAUCAAGUUACUGCAGUAGUUGGAGGAUAGCUGGAAGUUGAUAAGCAUGCACCUCUUUGCAUGCAAUUUUUUCUGUUGAGGAGAAAGGAGGAAUUUUUUUGGGGAUGGUAAGGACGCUACAGAGAACGUUUCAUAGGAUCAGGUACGUAGUUUAAAUCUUUCAAGCGUUGCAUUGUUUCUGAUGCCAAUCAUUUUACGGUUCAUAAUAAAUUAAUGUGCUUCUCGCAUACCUCUCUUUUUAAUUCUAACCUAACACUCCUUCGAAUUUAAUUUUCACGUCGAAUUUAUAAUCUUCCAAGUACAUGAAUGGUACAGCGUGAUCGAUCUUAAUUAUCAAGAAGUUUCAUUAAAGGUUUGAUUCUUGUUUGCAUAGUUUGGUUUACGCUGUUCAAGCUUGAUGGCUCUUACCUAUCCACCGGGACGAAUUUAUGAUAGGUUAGCUUGCAUGUGUUAUAAUUCUCAUUCUGGGAGCUUCGGCUGAAAAGGUCUGAGAUUGUGCUAAUCUUCACCAUGAUUUACAUUUUACUUAACCUGCAUUGCAUAAGAGACUGAAGUUGACAUAAAUGUCCAAAAUUAGUCAAUUCCUUGGUUUUGAAAAGCUGUGCAUAUUAGUUAUAGGCACUGUUUUGAAGAACUUGGUUUUAGGCCAUGCCUUCAUGAAGGCUCGCUGGAUUUGAGUGACGGGUGAAGGGCACCUCUUAGAAAUUUGGAUAUGUUGGGAAUUCAAUGGGAAUUCAUUAAUUUUCUGCAUGGUUCAAUAUACGUUGUUGCAUGUUAAUUUACACACACACACACACACACACACACACAUAUAUAUAUAUAUUGGUAAUAAGCCAUUUAUCUUCAUCAUGUUUGGAUCAUAUAGCUGAGAAGGUAAGAAAGCUACAUUUCAUGAGUUUCACAAGUCUACCUUUCCAUAUGAACUGUGAACGUUUCUUUUUCUUUGUGGCAACUUGAUGUUGACAGUUAUGGACCCAGGAGACAAAUUUAUGAGCGAGCAUUAUUUACACCUACAUUUAAAGUUGAAGGGAAUUAAAUUCGGGGGAUUUAGUGGAGUAUUGAUGAGCUGGAGCUCGCAAUGUAUUUGCUCCGAAUUGCUGUUGCACUGCUGCAAAUAUAUGGUUGGUUGAUUGUCUUUUGAUUAGCAUAAACUUUGAAGUUGAUUUGUGGAGUGAAAGAAGUUUUCAAUCUGGUUCUUAUUCCUGUUCUUAUUCGUAUUCACACUAUUCUUAUUCUUCCUGUUCUUAUUCGUAUUCUUAUUCCUGUUAUUAUUCGUA